AACUGUUCCUACAUGUGUGACAAGAAAAUUUUCUCCAUUUGAUAAAGCUAGAAAGUAAGAUACAUUAGCUUGGAUAGAUGUAAAAUAUGAGGUAGAGCAGAUCAUAUAAUAUGUUGAUUCUGUGUCAAGAAUCCAUGGAAUAUCAAGAACACUUUUAUGCUUGUGAUGAAAUGCAAUUAGGGAUAGAGAUAUACCAGACAUUUUAUGAGUGUUUUCAUCAUAUGGGAAAGGUGUAACAAGGGCUUGGACAUUGCUUGACGAAGAGGUGAAAUGCUGAGAGUUUGUUGCUGGUUUGAGGAGUGCCAUCAAUUGAGAAUAUUGCUUAUGACUUAAAGAUACUUGAGGAGUGCCAUCAAUUGAGAAUAUUGCUUAUGACUUAAAGAUACUUGACCUAUAUCCUUCACCACCUCCUAAUUAGGACUUGUUCCUGUACAUACCAUGUUGGCAGCAGAUUUUCCUUUUGUCAUUGAACUUAUACCCUGGUGGAAAUCCAUGAAGUUUGAAGCAUCUCUAUGUCUUGGCAUUUGGCAGUAUGUGCAAACUAGUCUACUUGGAUUUGCCUUAAAAACACCAUUCAAGUGACUGACCAGCAAUCUUGCAAUAGAUGCAGUAGUAUUAUACUUUUUAAGUGGUGAAAGAUUCUGAUUAGUUCCCUUUCUGAAAUUCCUCCUACUUAGAAAGGCCAUGGAGUCAGAACUUACAUGAGUUGGAUUGGAUACUUCCCUCCUCUUUUUUUCUUGUUGAACUAAAAAAUAUACUUUAUUCAGGCUAGGAAAAGGCUUGGUCAGUAGGAUCUGAGCCUUGGUUUCCUUAUAGGAGUCAUUUAACCCCAUUAAGAACUUUAUAACCCAAUCCCACAAUUUUUAAGCCUCGACAUGUACAGUUGGGAAUGCUUUCAUAAUUCAACAGCUCAUCCAAAAGAAUGUUGAGUUUGGAGAAGUACACAUUCACAGAUUCUUGAUUUUGCAUUAGGGUUGUGAUGUCCUUUCUCACUUCAAAAAUACGUGCAAUAUUUUGCUGGGAGAAACGUUGCUAAAGGUCAAGCCAAAGGAGAUGAGUUGUUUAAGCAUAAAUAGUGCUACUCUUGAUGUCAAUAGCCAUAGCAUUUUGCAUCCAUGUUAUAACGAUGUUAUUACAUCUUAGCCAACAUUCCAUUAAUGGAUCGUUCGGAUCCUUUGGCUCGAAAAAGGGUACCGUCUAUGAAACCAAGCUUAUUUUUUAUCCUCAACGCCCUUCUUAUCAAACGAGCCCAAGAGUAAUAGUAGCUAGAGUCCAAAACAUGAGUAACCGGCAUAAUAGCACUUCCAUCAUUGUUGCCAAUAUAAUAGGGCCUACUGGGAUGAGUUGGAUCAUGGGGAAGAACUCCUGAGUUGCUUCAACCAGCUUGCAGUUGAUUUUGACUUUAAUUUGGUUUGGUGUUUGGGAAAGGAUUUGUAUUUCCAGAAUCAAAUUCCUCCGCUUCUAGCUCUUUUACCAUGUUAGAUUUUGAAGAAUAUAAAACUUAACACAAAUGAAUUUGGAGAAUGGAAUGAAUACUAU
rnacentral:lncRNA from 1 species